rnacentral:rRNA from 1 species
GGGGAACUGAAACAUCUAAGUACCCCGAGGAAAAGAAAUCAACCGAGAUUCCCCCAGUAGCGGCGAGCGAACGGGGAGCAGCCCAGAGCCUGAAUCAGUAUGUGUGUUAGUGGAAGCGUCUGGAAAGGCGCGCGAUACAGGGUGACAGCCCCGUACACAAAAAUGCACAUGCUGUGAGCUCGAUGAGUAGGGCGGGACACGUGGUAUCCUGUCUGAAUAUGGGGGGACCAUCCUCCAAGGCUAAAUACUCCUGACUGACCGAUAGUGAACCAGUACCGUGAGGGAAAGGCGAAAAGAACCCCGGCGAGGGGAGUGAAAAAGAACCUGAAACCGUGU